rnacentral:lncRNA from 1 species
GUGAAAAACCCUCUCACGUCGCACUCCCCAGGGGCGGCUCGGGAGGCGACGACCCCGCCGCCCCUCUCCCCCACCCCCACCCCCUUCUCCGCCUCGCCGUCGCCCGAGCGGCCGCUGGCGAAGCCACGCAGCCACAAGGACGGCGGCGGCGGGGCGCUCCUCGUCUCCUCGCGCUCGAGCAGCCUGGGGAGCCGCCCGGAGUGGCGACGGCGGUGUCCGCCAGAUCCGCGCCGUUCCGGCCGGAUCUGGCGGGAUGGGCUGGCGGUGGGGAAGCCGUCGGCGGCGGGGACGGGCGACGGUGGCGGUCGAGGCGAGUUGCACCGGGUGAGCACGGAGGCUCCCCGCGGCUGCCACUGGCGUCCUCCGGCGCCCUCUAGGCGUCAGCCGGCGUUGGUGGAGAGGAAGACGGCCGGAUCUGGCUCCUUGCCCAGAUCCGGCGCGUCCUCAGGUGGGAACGGGGUGGUUGGAGUCCAGUCGUCGUGCAGGUGGUGUGAAUAUCGCAGGUAUCCUCGGUGUGCAGGUGCCAUUUGGUGGCUCCCGUCGUGGAUGCUAUGGUUGAUGGGUGCUCCGAGGUGAAAGUCUUGCU